UACGUAGGGUGCGAGCGUUGUCCGGAUUAUUGGGCGUAAAGAGCUCGUAGGCGGUUUGUCGCGUCGGCCGUGAAAUCUCCACGCUUAACGUGGAGCGUGCGGUCGAUACGGGCAGACUUGAGUUCGGUAGGGGAGACUGGAAUUCCUGGUGUAGCGGUGAAAUGCGCAGAUAUCAGGAGGAACACCGGUGGCGAAGGCGG
rnacentral:rRNA from 1 species